GAAGACAGAAAAAAAGAACUUGAAGAGUCUGAAAACAGGUUUAGCUGAGGCAUGUGCCAUGAUUGUUAGCUUGAAUCACAGUUGUUGUUUAAAGAGGACGGAUGUUGGGGAGAGGAAUGGUUACUGAUUCCCAGAUUUUUUAAAAAUGCAAUGCAAGGAGAAUUCUGAGGAGGGAAGCACAAUGUCUGGAUUCACUAUUUUCCCCUCUCCGGGUGGUGGCUUGAUGAUGAGAAGAUACAACCCUGUCAUCAUCACUCUCUUCUUAGGACUUGCAGCAGAAAGCACUCUUCUCAUUGUAAGCAAGCUUCAUGAAAAUUAGCCUGGAAGAAAGAAGACUGGCAAGAUAUCGGCCAUACUGUUGAAAUUGAACCCUGGGAAACAAAGAUAUGUACAUACCAAAGUCAAACUUUUACUAGGAAGGUUUGGAUUGUCAAGGCUCAGGUGUGAUAUUUCAGUCUUGGUCCUAUUUACUUAGGAUGCAAUUCAGAAGGUUAAAGUUGGCCCUGGGAGAUCCAAUAAAAAAUAUACCUGAGUCCAAAUUAAUCUAGAUCUACAAUUAUUACUUUUAAUUCAUUACUAUUAUGGAUAUAUAUAUAUGUUAG
rnacentral:lncRNA from 1 species